rnacentral:misc_RNA from 1 species
CUCGUCUUUACCUUGGUUGUCUUCAGUCGCCGAGUCUCUUCCAUGAUUACUCAUCUCAUCCUCAUCUGAGAACACUACUCCAUUUUGCAUUGCUUCAAUGUCCUUGUGCUUUUCUAAGAACUUUGAGAAACUUGGAUCCUUCCUCUUCAACCUUUCUAGCUUUCUCUUUUGUACAGCAAGAUUUUCUUGAAUUUUUAUGUUCUGCAUCAUCAAUUCACUAGUACAUUUGUCACCUUCUAAAAGUUUUUCAGGUUCACUUUCUGUUCCAUUUUCAUAGCUUAUAUCCUCCGAAAGAUAUCCAUCACUGUCUGAAGAAUCAACAACACCAUCACAAUCAUUUUCCAUGAAUGGUGCCUCAAGAGGCAAGUCUUCAAAAGCUUCAACUUCGG